CCUCAUUAUAAUUCUAAUCCUACCUUAAUACUGAGUAAUUCUAUACAACUAUAGAAAAUUUUAUGUUAGAACUAGUAACAAGAAGUAGACCCUUCUCUUAAAUGUAAAUGUAAAUCAGAAAGGACAAACCACUGAUACUUAACACUCUUGAACCCAAAACAGCAACCAACCAAGAAAACUCUGUUUUAAUUUAUGUUAACCUUACACAAGAACAUUUUAAGAAAGAUUAAAAGAAAAAGAAGGAACUCGGCAAAUGUUAACCCCGCCUGUUUACCAAAAACAUCGCCUCUUGAAUCCUUAUAAGAGGUCCAGCCUGCCCAGUGACUCUGUUCAACGGCCGCGGUAUCCUAACCGUGCGAAGGUAGCGUAAUCACUUGUUCUUUAAAUGAGGACUAGUAUGAACGGCACCACGAGGGUUAUGCUGUCUCCCUUUUCUAAUCAGUUAAACUAAUUUCCCCGUGAAGAAGCGAGGAUAAUCAUAUAAGACGAGAAGACCCUAUGGAGCUUUAAACAAUGUAGCAUUUAUCAUAAAAAUUCUGACUUGCGAGUCCACUCUACAACAGAUUAUUUGACUAUAAGUUUUUGGUUGGGGUGACCGCGGAACAUAACAUAACCUCCACGUUGCAAGAAUUUACUUCUAAACUAAGAACCACAACUCUAAGAAUCAAUAUCUUGACAUUAAUUGACCCAAUACAUUUGAUCAACGAACCAAGUUACCCUAGGGAUAACAGCGCAAUCCACUUCAAGAGCCCCUAUCGACAAGUGGGUUUACGACCUCGAUGUUGGAUCAGGGUUUCCCAGUG
rnacentral:rRNA from 1 species